GUGGGUAUAGCUCAGUGGUAGAACACAUGCUUAGCAUGCAUGAGGUCCUGGGUUCAAUCCCCAGUACCUCCA
rnacentral:tRNA from 1 species